rnacentral:rRNA from 1 species
GACGAACGCUGGCGGCGUGCUUAACACAUGCAAGUCGAACGGGGCGAAGUGAUAGCUUGCUAUUAUGGAGCCUAGUGGCAAACGGGUGAGUAACGCGUAGGCAACCUGCCCUUCAGAUGGGGACAACACCUCGAAAGGGGUGCUAAUACCGAAUGACGUUUCCUGGUCGCAUGACUUGGAAACCAAAGGCCGGGCAACCGGUCACUGAAGGAUGGGCCUGCGUCUGAUUAGCUAGUUGGUGGGGUAAUGGCCUACCAAGACGAUGAUACGUAGCCGACCUGAGAGGGUGAUCGGCCACAUUGGGACUGAGACACGGCCCAA